rnacentral:rRNA from 1 species
AGUGAACGCUGGCGGUAGGCCUAACACAUGCAAGUCGAACGGCAGCACAGUAAGAGCUUGCUCUUACGGGUGGCGAGUGGCGGACGGGUGAGGAAUACAUCGGAAUCUACUUUUUCGUGGGGGAUAACGUAGGGAAACUUACGCUAAUACCGCAUACGACCUACGGGUGAAAGAAGGGGAUCUUCGGACCUUGCGCGAUUGAAUGAGCCGAUGUCGGAUUAGCUAGUUGGCGGGGUAAAGGCCCACCAAGGCGACGAUCCGUAGCUGGUCUGAGAGGAUGAUCAGCCACACUGGAACUGAGACACGGUCCAGACUCCUACGGGAGGCAGCAGUGGGGAAUAUUGGACCAUGGGCGCAAGCCUGAUCCAGCCAUACCGCGUGGGUGAAGAAGGCCUUCGGGUUGUAAAGCCCUUUUGUUGGGAAAGAAAAGCAGCAGGUUAAUACCCCGCUGUUCUGACGGUACCCAAAGAAUAAGCACCGGCUAACUUCGUG